rnacentral:rRNA from 1 species
GACGAACGCUGGCGGCGUGCUUAACACAUGCAAGUCGAACGGAAAGGCCCUGCUUUUGUGGGGUGCUCGAGUGGCGAACGGGUGAGUAACACGUGAGUAACCUGCCCUUGACUUUGGGUUAACUUCAGGAAACUGGGGCUAAUACCGGAUAGGAGCUCCUGCUGCAUGGUGGGGGUUGGAAAGUUUCGGCGGUUGGGGAUGGACUCGCGGCUUAUCAGCUUGUUGGUGGGGUAGUGGCUUACCAAGGCUUUGACGGGUAGCCGGCCUGAGAGGGUGACCGGCCACAUUGCGACUGAGAUACGGCCCAGACUCCUACGGGAGGCAGCAGUGGGGAAUAUUGCACAAUGGGCCGAAGCCUGAUGCAGCAACGCCGCGUGCGGGAUGACGGCCUUCGGGUUGUAAACCGCUUUCGCCUGUGACGAAGCGUGAGUGACGGUAAUGGGUAAAGAAGCACCGGCUAACUACGUG